rnacentral:rRNA from 1 species
GAUGAACGCUGGCGGCGUGCCUAAUACAUGCAAGUCGAGCGAACAGACGAGGAACUUGCUCCUCUGACGUUAGCGGCGGACGGGUGAGUAACACGUGGAUAACCUACCUAUAAGACUGGGAUAACUUCGGGAAACCGGAGCUAAUACCGGAUAAUAUAUUGAACCGCAUGGUUCAAUAGUGAAAGACGGUUUUGCUGUCACUUAUAGAUGGAUCCGCGCCGCAUUAGCUAGUUGGUAAGGUAACGGCUUACCAAGGCAAGGAUGCGUAGCCGACCUGAGAGGGUGAUCGGCCACACUGGAACUGAGACACGGUCCAGACUCCUACGGGAGGCAGCAGUAGGGAAUCUUCCGCAAUGGGCGAAAGCUUGACGGAGCAACGCCGCGUGAGUGAUGAAGGUCUUCGGAUCGUAAAACUCUGUUAUUAGGGAAGAACAAAUGUGUAAGUAACUAUGCACGUCUUGACGGUACCUAAUCAGAAAGCCACGGCUAACUACGUG